rnacentral:rRNA from 1 species
GGGACGAUCAGCCACACUGGGACUGAGACACGGCCCAGACUCCUACGGGAGGCAGCAGCAGGGAAUAUUGCACAAUGGGCGAAAGCCUGAUGCAGCGACGCCGCGUGAGGGAUGAAGGCCCCCGGGUCGUAAACCUCUUUCAGGAGGGACGAAGCGCAAGUGACGGUACCUCCAGAAGAAGCCCCGGCCAACUACGUGCCAGCAGCCGCGGUAAUACGUAGGGGGCGAGCGUUGUCCGGAUUUAUUGGGCGUAAAGAGCUCGUAGGCGGCUCAGCAAGUCGGCCGUGAAAUCCCGGAGCUCAACUCCGGGAGGCCGGUCGAAACUGCUGUGGCUAGGGUCCGGUAGAGGAGAGUGGAAUUCCCGGUGUAGCGGUGAAAUUCGCAGAUAUCGGGGGGAACACCAGUAGCGAAGGCGGCUCUCUGGGCCGGCACCGACGCUGAGGAGCGAAAGCUAGGGGAGCAAACAGGAUUAGAUACCCUGGUAGUCCUAGCUGUAAACGUUGGGCACUAGGUGUGGCGGAUUGAUUGAUGUCUGCCGUGCCGCAGCUAACGCAUUAAGUGCCCCGCCUGGGGAGUACGGUCGCAAGGCUAGAACUCAAAGGAAUUGACGGGGCCCCGCACAAGCGGCGGAGCAUGCGGCUCAAUUCGAUAAAACCCGAAGAACCUCACCUGGACUUGACAUCUCGGGAAAAGCCGUGGAAACACGGUGUGCGAAAGCGUCCGAGACAGGUGGUGCAUGGCUGUCGUCAGCUCGUGUCGUGAGAUGUUGGGUUAAGUCCCGCAACGAGCGCAACCCCUGUCCCAUGUUGCCAGCGGAUUAUGCCGGGGACUCAUAGGAUACUGCCGGGGACAACUCGGAGGAAGGCGGGGAUGACGUCAAGUCAUCAUGCCCCUUAUGUCCAGGGCUGCACGCAUGCUACAAUGGCGAGUACAACGGGCUGCGAUCCCGCGAGGGUGAGCCAAUCCCUUAAAACUCGUCUCAGUUCGGAUUGGAGUCUGCAACUCGACUCCAUGAAGCUGGAGUCGCUAGUAAUCGCGGAUCAGCUAUGCCGCGGUGAAUACGUUCUCGGGGCUUGUACACACCGCCCGUCACAUCACGAAAGUCGGCAACACCCGAAGUCAGUGGCCCAACCCCUCGGGGAGGGAGCUGCCGAAGGUGGGGCUGGCGAUUGGGAUGAAGUCGUAACAAGGUAGCCGUACGGGAACGUGCGGCUG